GACACUAUGCUAUGACAUAGCAUAGAAAACGAACGUAUCCACAACAACCAUGGAAUGGAGCUUCUCCCUUGCAAUGGCCUAGAAAAGACAUGAGAAGAGGAUCUAAAAGGUCACAAUAAUAUAGAGCCAUGGUAGCGGUAAAGGAAUAACUGAAAGGAAGAAAUGAUGACUUGAAGGUCCAUGAGCCAAAAUAUCCAGGAGAAGAGUAGUCAGUAAGAAAUCAGAAAGCCAAGAACAAGAAGUUUCUGAAGGGAAGGCUAGAAAAGAAGAGUAGAUGUGAGAAGAAAUAUUUUGGACACUGUAAACCAACAUUUAUUCGAGACAGAUAGGGGGAAGACAAAGAGAUGCAGGAAAGGAGGCCAUGUGAAGAUGGAGGCAGAGACUGGAGUCACGCUGCCAGAAGCCAAGACCACUUGGUACCACCAGAAGCUGGAAGAGGAAAGGAAGGAUUCUCCCCUAGAGCUUUCAAAGAGAGCGUAGCCCUGC
rnacentral:lncRNA from 10 species